CCUACGGGUGGCAGCAGUGAGGAAUAUUGGUCAAUGGGCGGGAGCCUGAACCAGCCAAGCCGCGUGAGGGAAGAAGGUACAGCGUAUCGUAAACCUCUUUUGUCAGGGAACAAAGGCGGGGACUAGUCCCCGGAUGAGGGUACCUGAAGAAAAAGAAUAGGCUAACUCCGUGCCAGCAGCCGCGGUAAUACGGAGGAUGCGAGCGGUAUCCGGAUUGAUUGGGUUAAAAGGGUGCGCUGGCGGCCUGUUAAGGCGGCGUUAAAAGCCCGGGGCUCAACCCCGGCGUGCCGUUGAAACUGGGGGGCUGGAGUGGGAGAGAAGUACGCGGAAUGCGCGGUGUAGCGGUGAAAUGCUUAGAUAUCGCGCAGAACCCCGAUUGCGAAGGCAGCGUACUGGCUCCACACUGACGCUGAGGCACGAAAGCGUGGGUAUCGAACAGGAUUAGAUACCCGAGUAGUC
rnacentral:rRNA from 1 species